UAUAACAUAGGCCUUUUAAGCAUUCUAAAAUUCACAAUAAAUACAUAUAACAAGAAUAUGCAUGCUUUUUCAUUUAACAACACUUAAUUAAGCACAAAUGAGAAUUUCUCAUUGUGUGGCUAGGUCAAACCCACCGAACCGUCGCGUAGAGCCUCGUCUCGCCGAACCAAGUUGUCCCCGAGUCUCAAAAUACCCUAAAAGUAAUCAGCGAAGAGAUACGAGGGCAUUACAACCAUCCUAUAACAACAAACAUUAACCUAGGAGCAAAAAGGGGCAAAACUCACCUCAAGAGUAGAAAUCUCUUCCAAAGCUCCAAAAGAGAGCUAGAACCCUUCCAAUCCAAGCCCUAGGAAGGUUCUAAACCAAUCAAUUUAGCCCCAAAAGCCCUAGAUCAAAAAUGCCCAAAAUAAGCCCUAAAUCUCAUUUCUAGGGUUUCAUCUCCCAAAAAUCACAAAAACAAGAAUCUAGAGGAGGGAAACAUGAUACUAACCCUUUGGAAGCUUCAAUCCAAGCCCAAAAUGCCCUAGGGUUGAAGUUGGUCCACCACUAAGCUCUACAAGCAAGCUCCAAGCCUUGCCAAGGUGGGAAAGAGAGAAAGGGGUUGAGCUCCAAGCUCCCUCAAACUAGCUCCUCUUCUUCUUCUCCUCCUUCUUCUUCUUCUCCUUCUUCUUCUUCUCUCUCUAGAAGGUGUAGGGUGGUGAGAAAUGAGGAGGGAAGGG
rnacentral:lncRNA from 1 species